CACACCAACAAGGUAAAGUAGGUGUUAAUUGUAAGGCCAAUUAAGGAUUUGAGUAUUAUUUAAAUUAGAUAAUUUUUUCUACACCCCAAUUGAAAAAAUUUGAAUUUAAGGAAAGAGCUACCUGCCUGAAAUAAAAUGCAAAACACAGAGUAAAUGUGGAUUGCCCUAAGCCUAGUAAUCGGGUCUCUUCACCUAAGUCAAGUAUUGAGAUUUGCAUCAAAUGGUGGUGGGAAGGCUAGGAUGCUCAGCAAAAAAAAAAAAAAAAAAGUGUGAAAGCUACCUUAGUUCUUUGUUUAAUCUGGGGGGUAUAGAAAAUUAAUUGAACUAAGUUAUGAAAAAUGAUACAAUUGGCCUGUACAAGUUAAUACUGAAAUACUAAGUUAGUUAUCACUCAUACAAGUGCUAUAAAACUUUAAGUGUACUCUAAGAAAGCUCCUAAGUAGACUGACUAUCGAUUCUAAUUCGAAGCUCAUUACUUAGUAAUACUAGAAAACUUCUUGAAUUUCGAUCUUAAAUUAAUUUACAAAGGAAGGAUCUUUUUGGAACAUGAUCUUAUUUUGGUACAUUGCUAAGGGACUAGCAAUGAUUAAGUUGGGGGGUGUGAUUUAUGUCACAAAUUGACAUAAAAAGUAUCAAUUAAUAUCUAAAUUAUCUAAAUUUAUUAAGAAAUUGAUACUUGUUAUUAUAUUUUGCAGAAGAAGAGGUCAUCAAUAGAAAGAACAAGGAAAGAGAAUUCCAACGACGUAAAUUUUACGCAAAACGGAGUUAAAUUAACCCAGGAAUUGAAGAAUGAAGGAAGAAGACUCAAUUGGAUCAAACCUGAGUCAAAUCAGGUCAAAAUUGAUCAAAAAUCAACUGAUUUGGUGAUCUGGUUAGCCGCCUGGUCCACAGCAACAGGCACCUGGACCAUGGACCCAUCGGCGCACCAUAAACCAGUCAAUCAGCGAGUCUCGGCUCACCGCAACGCAUCGCGAGCCCGGUCCACGCGUGCGGUCCAGGGCUCAUGAGGAGAGAGAAGAAGGUCCGAAGGGCAACCUGGUAACUUCACAUCACUCGAUGGUCCGAUCAAGAUCCAACGCUCUACAUUUUUGCACCAUCGGACAGCCACCAUCGUAGCCGGUCAAGAUCCAACCGUAAUCAAGGCAAUUGCAAGAAUCAAUAAACACUAGGACAACACAGGAUCCUUCUGCAGCGCGAUCCAACGGACGAAAUCUUCCAGCACCUUGAUCGGACGGUCCGCAAUGCAUCCGACCUGAUCCCAUCUCUGCAGCGCGAUCCAAUGGCAGCGCUUCACCCAGAUCAUGAUCCGACGGCCCAGAAUCGCUCCCGAUUUGAUCUAUUUGAUGAAUUGGGUCCUUUAGAUGAAGAUCGGACGGCUGAAACAAUUUCUAGAAUUUCUUGAUGGAUUUAAGUGCUUUUUGAGCGAGAUUUGAGCCCCUAAACCCCCCUAACAGCCCUCUAAAAUUUCUUAGUCCCACAUCUAAAGUUUUGAAAAUCUUAUAACCCCCAAAUGNNNNNNNNNNNNNNNNNNNNNNNNNNNNNNNNNNNNNNNNNNNNNNNNNNNNNNNNNNNNNNNNNNNNNNNNNNNNNNNNNNNNNNNNNNNNNNNNNNNNNNNNNNNNNNNNNNNNNNNNNNNNNNNNNNNNNNNNNNNNNNNNNNNNNNNNNNNNNNNNNNNNNNNNNNNNNNNNNNNNNNNNNNNNNNNNNNNNNNNNNNNNNNNNNNNNNNNNNNNNNNNNNNNNNNNNNNNNNNNNNNNNNNNNNNNNNNNNNNNNNNNNNNNNNNNNNNNNNNNNNNNNNNNNNNNNNNNNNNNNNNNNNNNNNNNNNNNNNNNNNNNNNNNNNNNNNNNNNNNNNNNNNNNNNNNNNNNNNNNNNNNNNNNNNNNNNNNNNNNNNNNNNNNNNNNNNNNNNNNNNNNNNNNNNNNNNNNNNNNNNNNNNNNNNNNNNNNNNNNNNNNNNNNNNNNNNNNNNNNNNNNNNNNNNNNNNNNNNNNNNNNNNNNNNNNNNNNNNNNNNNNNNNNNNNNNNNNNNNNNNNNNNNNNNNNNNNNNNNNNNNNNNNNNNNNNNNNNNNNNNNNNNNNNNNNNNNNNNNNNNNNNNNNNNNNNNNNNNNNNNNNNNNNNNNNNNNNNNNNNNNNNNNNNNNNNNNNNNNNNNNNNNNNNNNNNNNNNNNNNNNNNNNNNNNNNNNNNNNNNNNNNNNNNNNNNNNNNNNNNGUAUAUGUAUGUAUAUAUAUUCUUAAUAUUACUUAUUUAUUAACAUGAAUGAAUCUUAAUAACUUAAAUAAACUAUUUUUAUAUAUUAAUAAUAUAAAUUAUAGUUUGAUCGUUAAGAGCUUGUCAUUCAAACAAAAGAUCAUUGGUUCGAAUCCUUCUUUUAUUUUAAUUCUCGGUAAAAAUAUUUGCAACAUUCUUUAUGGCCUAGUGGCACUUAAAAAUACCACUAAUGGUCCUUUUUAUUAUCGCAUUUUCUCAAGAGUUUUAUUUAUAUAGUUUAGAAUAAUAAUUCUAAUUAUCUUUUAAAAUUAAGUUGAAUUUCAUUCUAUCUAUAUAAUUUAUUGAUUCAUAAUUUUAUAAUAAAUAAUUUUUUAAAAUAAAUAAUAUUUUAAUAAUGCUGAUAAUAUGCAGCUUGUUUACAUUCUUAUAGUCCAAGCUAAUUUAAGCUAGGCUCCUCAACUCAUUUCUUAUAUAAGGAAGUCAAACUCAAACUAGCUUCCAAAUACAUACCUUGCUCUUUAUUAAGCUUUACUUCCAAAUAUCAAAAAUUAAAUUUAAAAAACCAAUUUAGAGGGACGUGUGACAAGUGGAUAAAGAAAGUUUCACUUAUCCAUUAUAGGUUUUUUUGGUGACUUACUACUCAAAAACCCUCUUGACUCCACCUCUGCUACCUCUUCCACCCACACCCCCAAUUUGGCAAUAUAUUUUAUCAAUUACACCAAUCCCCUCGCAUCAUAUGAUAAAGUGGUCCUUUUUUAUGCUCAUAAUAGGUUUUCAUUGGCAUCACUCAUUUGAAAACUCAAGAAUAACUAAGUUGAAUUAAAAUGUGAUUCUUCAUAUCUCAAUAACUUAGGAUUAAUGGAAUCGAAGCCUCCUUUGCAUGCUAAAUCUCUUCAUCUUUUGUUGUCUAGCUAGACAACCUAAGAGGGGAGAUGAAUUGGAUCAUUAAAAAUUUUAACUAAGUAGUGUUGAUUGUGCAGUGAAUAAAAGAUAAACAGUGAGCAAAUUAAAGAAAUAGAAUAACAAGCACACAAGCAUAGUGAAUUUAUAGUGGUUCAGUGCACUUCAAGCACUUACGUCCACUCUCCAAGCAAUUUAUUGAGAAUUUCUACUAUAAGCUAUCUGAUUACAGCGUAUUUAUUUUAACCAGGCUCACAAAUAAAUUUAAUUGAUUUUAAUGUAGGUCAACUAAUCAAAAUCUUUACAAGCCUUGUCCCAAGGCUCCCAAACUAAUUUCAAGUUUGGAACAAUUCAAUCUUUCAAGUUUCAGCCCGCACUAAAACUAUUAAAGCAAUUUUUGAAAAAAAAAAUCAAUACAAUAAUUAAAAAUCCUAUAGAUGGUUGAUUUGUUAUUGUUGAAGCUCUCUUUGAAGAAACUUUAAAUGCCAGUAGUGAAUGCACUAGCUUCUCCUAGAAUGCACUCAGAAAAAUCAAAAAGAAAUUAGUGGAAAGUAGGUGAACUCUCUUGAAAGCUAUUGAAUACUUAAAAAUACUCUUUACUCAUGAAUAGUAUCUCUUCUUUUUGUUCUUUGCUCUUCCUUUUAACUCUUGAUCAUUCCCUCCAAGUUAUGAUGGAUUUGAAGCCAAAACUAGCCGUUUCUGACCGUUGGAAGUAGAAAAUAACUAUUGAAAACUUGUUUGGACAAAAGCAGACUUACUGCAAAACUAGUCGUUAUGGCUGUCAGAUGGCGUUGAGUCGGCUCAAACUAGUCUCGAGCCAACUUGAAUUGCAUUCGGGCCUGCUCCGCUGCAUAUUGGGUCAGCUCGACUUUGGUUCUAAAAAAAUUGGCAUUUUAUCCCACUGAGAGAGCCGGCUCUGAUUUUGUUCGAGCCGGCUUGAGUCUAAGAAUCUGAAAAAUACCUCUCUGUCUUUCUGAGAGAGCCGGCUCGGUUUCAUUUUGAGUCGGCUUGACUGCAUGUCAAACUAAAAUUUCAAUCCCGUUUCGUACUAGAGCUGGCUCGAUUCUUCGGUGAGUCGGCUCUGAUUCUUUAAGAAGACUUUUCUUAUGCUGUUUGUCUCCAAAAUUGAUUUUACUUGACUCAAUUAAUUUUCAAUCAUACUUAGAGUCUUCUAAUGGUAAUUUUCUUAACAAAAAUAUUCUUUGAUAUACUUAAAAAAUAUUAGUAUCAAUUUAUGCUCUAAUAUUUUGUAAUCAUCAAAAUUAUUUCUGGAGUUAACAAUCUCCUCCUUUUUGAUGAUGAUAAAAUAUUGAACAUAUGAAAAAAAAAUUGGUCAAUGUGAAAAGAUGUAUAGUAUCAAGGGUAAUAAAUUUUUACACUUCCAUAAAUUUUUAUACUUUAAUAUGCACUAUAUACAUAAAUAAUUUUUGAUUUGACAAACUAUAUGGAAGAGUUGCAUUUAGCUAUUAAAAUUUAAACUCCCCCUUAAUGAAUGCAUUUUAUGAAACUUAUAUAGGUAAAAAUUUUUAACAUCCAUUAAUAUCUCAAUUCAAUUAAAAUUUCAAUUAAUAUCUCAAUUCAAUAUGCUCAUAAUAUGCUCAAUCUCUUUUUCUCCCCCUUUUUGUUAACAUCAAAAAGAACAUUCAAAAGUACAAAUAGUACAAGCAUUUGAGAUAAGCUAAAGUAAACAUUCAUUGAUGGAUAAUGAUCAUUAUAUAUUUGUAUUGCUUACAAAAAGGUGCCAUUCAAAUAAUACAACAUAACAUCAGACAUUACAAAUAUAAAGAUAAGCAUAAAGUAAAACCUAAGCCUAAAGAGAUUACUCAUCAGAUGGGAACUCUAUGAUGGAUCCAGCUGAAUCAGAGGAUGAGGAGGAGGGUACCGAUCUCUUGGUUCAGGUUCUUGCAAAGGAUCUGGAGCAAAGAGGAAGAAAAUCAGUACCAGGUCUAAUAGUUGCACUGAAGGGGGUCUAAUUAUGGAGGAGGAUGGGUGAGGCUGGCUAGGGAAGGGUCUAGGCUAGGUAAGAGGUGGUCGAGAUCGACGUGGAGAUAUCCGAGCCAUAAGCAGAUCAAUCUGUGCCUCAAUCCUCUAUACAGCAGUGAUGAGAACCUCGAUGCUGCCACACUAAGAAAUGAUAGCUUCCUCAACUCUUCUAGCAACUCUGGUAGCCUGCACAGUGAAAUGCUCAAAACUCUGAGAUAAAUCAAAUAUUCCACUUUGAGUCUCUUCCAUAAUCUCUAAUCUCUGAGAUAGACUACUAAUCUACUGACUAAGCUACUCUAUCCUUGAGAUGAUACUCUAUGCUCAUCAAGACUCUGAGUGAUCUGUUGCUGAAAAUCAGUAAACAAUUUCUUCAUUCUCUUCAUAAUCUUCUCCAUAGCCUAUUCUACAGUCUUUUUCGAGCUGAAACUAUGAUGCAUAAGAGGGGUGUGAGAAGAGAUUGGAGCAUGCUCUCCUGCAACUGAUGCUGGAGUCGAUGCUGGUGCUGGAGAAGCUGGUCUAGCUGCAGGUGCUGGUGAAGAUGGACUGAUAGAAUCUGAUGGGGAUGAAGAAGAUGAUCCAAAAGCCUGACCAGGAAUCUCCUUAACUUUUCUAACCCACUGAUCAUUCACUUUUUGAUAUCCCAUGCGAUGUAGUGAAUGAACCGUGUAAUAGUCAACAUGGGUAAGGGACUUGAAGUCCUCACCAUCCAAGUCAAUCCUAGCAUCAAUGAAUAUCAGAGUGAACACCAUACCAUAGGGCAAACAGGCUUUUGUCUUUGAUCUCCAAGCAGCACUCCUAAUUUACUCAAUCAUCAUAAAUGUUAGGUUCAUUGCAGUCCCCUCAACCAAAUGAACUAUCACAGCAUGAUCUUUCCUUGAAAUCCAAUCAAAUCUUCCAGUCCUAGGAAAGAAGAUCCUGCAAAUCAUUCUAUGGAGUAGCUUCAGCUCAGUAGGCAAAAGAUUGACUUUAUGAAAGUCAAAGUUCUCCACAUCAUCUCUACCUAGAACCCUUCUUAAGCCAUCAAAAUCAUUUUCCAACUUAGGUACACCAAUUCUAGAGAUGGCAUUUCCAAAAGAUGCCUUAGCUUUUUCUGAUCUAGUACAAUCUCAGUCUGUUUCACCACAGAUCAGAUGAAAUCUGUAUCUAUUUUCAAAUUUUCAAAAAACUCUCUCACACAGUUGGGAUAGGUCAGUACCUCAAUAAAUUUUCUCCCACCCUUGUUGAUGAAUCCAAGACCCAAUCCCAAAGUUCUCCUCAUCCAAAAAAUCAAAACUGACCUUCCUACCCAUUGUGACUACUUGUGAUGCCAUAGAGAUGCGAUUCAGUGGAGAGAUUGAUGCAGAAGGUGUGGGGCGAAGAUCUUCAAGCUGUCGCUUCCUCUUGGACCGUGCCUCACGCUCUCGACCGUGCUUCACCUCUCUGUGAUCACGGUUCGAGCUCAAGGUGCCAUUGCUUGGAUUCUCAAAGUUUUGGAGGGUAGAAGGAGGAGGAAAGGGGUUUUCAUGGGUUUAGGAAUGGAGCCGAGAGGAUUUGAGGUGGGGCAUGCUCAGAAGAGUGAAUGAACAGGGUUUGAAAAAGUCAGAUGUUUUAAGUAAAAAAUUGAGCCCCGACCAUCGAGUCGGCUCGAUAUCCUAUUUGGGUCGGCUCAACAGUCAAGUCAACUCGACUGCACAAUCGAGCCGGCUCAGGCCACAGUUCUAAAAAUGAAAUAACAUUCAAAAGAGUUCGAAAAUUAUCCAAAAAAAUUCUAAAAAUCUUAAAUCAAAUCAACUAAUAUAUGAACAAAAAGUUAUAGAAGUGAUUUUUAAUUAGAAGGGAUCAUAAAUUCCUAAUUCACCUUUAAUCAUAUUAAAUAUGCCUUCAUUCAAAGAUUUUGUAAAAAUAUCAGCUAAUUGAUUUUCAGUAGAAACAAAUUCAAGUUAUACAAUGUCGCUAUUUUGAACAUGAUCUUUAAUAAAGUGAUGUCUUAUUUCAAUAUGUUUUGUUCUUGAGUAUUGAAUGAGAUUUUUUGUUAAAUUAAUAGCACUUGUGUUAUCACAUCUUAAAAAAAAUUUAUUUUGAUCAAUACCAUAAUCCUUAAGUUGUUGCUUAAUUCAAAGAAAUUGAACACAGUAACUUCUGACUGCAAUAUACUUGAUCUUGAUCGUGGAUAAUACUACCAAAUUUUACUUCUUGUUAAAUCCAGAGAUUAAGUUCAAUCCAAAAAAUUGACAUGUCCCACUUGUACUUUUUCUAUCAAUUUUAUAUCUACCAUAAUCAGCAUCAAAAUAUCCAAUUAAAUUAAUUGAAGUAUGCUUAGAAUACUAUAAAUCUAAGUGUUAUGUUCCCAUCAAGUAUCUUAAAAUUUUUUUAACAGCGAGCAUAUAAGAUUCUAUAGGAUUAGACUAAAAUCUAGCAUAUAUGCAUAUGCUAAACAUGAUAUCUGAUAUAUUUGCUGUAAGAUAAAGUAAAGAACCGAUUAUACCUUUAUAAAGGUUUUGGUAACCAUCUUUAUCAUUUUCAUCUUUGUUUAACUUGCAUGAGGGGCACAUGGGGUUCCAAUGGCUUUGACAUUCUCCAUUUCAAACUUCUUAAGUAUCUUCUUGAUGUACUUAGCUUGGUUGAUGAAAAUUUCUUUCUUUGUUUGUUUGAUUUGAAGAUCGAAGAAGAAAUUUAGCUCCCCCAUCAUACUCAUUUCAAAUUCAUCCUAUAUCAAUUUAGCAAAUUCUUGAUAAAAAAGUUUAUUAGUAAAAUCAAAAAUAAUAUCAUCCACAUAUAUUUGAACAAUCAGUAGAUCCAUUUCCUUUCUUUUCAAAAAUAAGGUAGGAUCUACACUGCCUCUAGUAAAAUCAUUAUUGAGUAAAAAUUUACUUAAUCUAUCAUACCAUGCUCUUUGUGCUUGUUUUAAUACAUACAAUGCUUUACUAAGUUUAAAAAUAUGAUUUGGACAAGCAUGAUUUUCAAAACCUGAUGGUUGUUCGACAAAAAUCUCUUCCAUAAUAAAAUCAUUUAAAAAUAUAUUUUUUACAUCUAUUUGAUAUAAUUUGAAAUUUAUAUAACAAGCAAAUGCAAGUCGUAAUCUAAUAGCUUCUAAUCUAGCUACAGGUGCAUAUGUUUCAUCAAAAUUAAUUUUUUCUUCUUAAUUAUAUCUCUUAACAACUAAUCUAGCUUUAUUUCUUACUAUAUUAUCAUUUUUAUCUAAUUUAUUUUUGAAUACCCACUUAGUUUCUAUUAUUGGGUGAUCAAUAGGUCUAUCAACUAAUAUCUAUAUUUUAUUUCUUUCAAACUAAUUUAAUUCUUCUUGCAUAGCAAUUAUCUAAUUAGGAUCAUUUUCAGCUUCUUCAAUGAUUUUAGAUUCUAUUUGUGAAAUAAAAGUAAGAUAAUCAUGAUUUUUUCUAAAAGUAGAUCUAGUUCUUACACCUUAUGAGGGAUCACCAAUUAUAAGAUCUUUAGGAUGAUUAUGGGCAUACUUCCAUUCUUUGGGUAGGUCAUCAUGCUUUUUAUUCAUGCCUUCUUCUUAAAUAUCUUCAUGGUCAUUACCUUUUGAAUCUCCCUCUCCACCAUGAUCAGAUUUGUCUUUUAAGUUGAGUUUCUUUACUCAUUUUUCUAAGCUUCCUGCAUUAUCAUCAAGAACAUCUUUCUUUCCCGAAGAUAAGUUGUUAGUUUCAUCAAAGAUUACAUGAUGAAUAGACUCUUCAAGAACUAAAGUACAUUUGUUGAAGACUCUAUAUACUUUGCUAGAUAUAGAGUAUCUAAGAAAGAUACCCUCAUCUGACUUAGUAUCAAAUUUUUUUAGAUUAUUUUUUUUAUUAUUUAAAAUAAAAUAUUUAUAUUUAAAGAUAUAAAAAUAACUAAUAUUAGGUUUUCUUCCUUUUCAAAAUUUAUAAGAAUUUUUUUUAAGAAUUAGAUGAAUCAAAAUAUGAUUUAAAAUAUAAUAAGCAGUGUUUAUAGCUUCAAUCCAAAAGUACUUUAGAAGAUUUUUUUCACACAAUAUAGUUCGAGCCAUUUUUUCUAAAGUUUUAUUCUUUCUCUCAACAACACUAUUUUGUUAAGAUAUUCUUACAGUAGAAAAAUUAUGUUCUAUAUCAUUUUUAUUAUAAAAUAUUUUAAAAUUUUAAUUUUCAAAUUCACUACAAUGAUCACUUCGAAUUUUAACAAUUAUAAAUUUUUUUUCAUUUCAAACUUUUCAAUAGAAUUUUAAAAAUACACAAAAUACUUCAUCUUUGUGUGCUAAAAAUAAAAUCCAAAUAAAAUAAAAAAAAUAUUUAUGAUCACAAGUCCAUACUUUUUCUCUCCUAGGCUUGUAGUCCUAGUAGAUCCGAAUAAGUCCAUGUGAAUCAACUCAAAUGGCCUAGUAGUUAAAACUAUAUUUUUGGGUUUAAAACUUUUUCUGGUUUGUUUACCAAAUCGACAUGCAUUGCGAACAUGAUCAUUUUCAAAAUUUAGUUCCGAUAAACCUUUAACUAGGUCUUUUGCAAUCAAUUUUGAUAAUGUAUUCAUGCUUGCAUGACUCAACCUACGAUGUUAUAGCCAACUAGUUUCUUUGAUCUUAGCAACCUUAGCAAUAAGGCAUUGAUCACUCUUCAUUGCUAUCUCAUCAAGAUCAAUCAUGUAGACAUUGCCAUGCCUUUGUCCAAUGAAUUUGAUACUAUCAUCAAAGAGACUAGUGACUAUGCAUAAAGAUGAUUUAAAUAUGACUUUAAAAUCUUUAUCGCACAAUUGACUUAUACUUAGUAAGUUAUACUUUAAACUAUCAAUAAGUAAUACAUUUUCAAUAAAGAUGAAGGAAGUAAUUUUGAUUUUACCAAUUUCAAUAAUUUUUCUUUUGCCAUUGUCGCCAAAGGUUACCACUCCUUCGUUCUUUCUCUCAAGGAUGAUGAAUUGAUCCUUGUCAUCUGUCAUAUAUCUUGAAUGGCCACUAUCUAGAUACCAUACUUUUUUAUUUUCAUUGGCUGCAAGAUACUCCUGCAAAAUAAUCAAGUGGAUGAUUUAAGUACCCAAGUUUUCUUGGAUCUUUUAAGAUUAAUUAUCAUGAUUUCUUUUAGAACCCAGAUCUUUUUUACUAUUUUUCCAUCAAAUUUUCUUAUGUUGUAUGUGUAUGCUUUGUAUCCUACUCUACCACAACUAAAGCAUGUAACAUGUGAGAUGAUAUGUGAUGAUAAUGAGCUAGUGUAAAUAUUUUUAUUUUUAUUUCUUGUUAGGAUUAAAACCGAUACUAGCUUUAUUAUAGAUGGCCUUUUGGUUAUUUAAAAUUAUUUUCAAUUUUUCUGAGCUGCAUGUAAAUUUAUCAACCAAUAAUUUUAACUUUUGAACUUCCUUUCUUAAUAAAUCAUUUUUUUCUACCAAGAGUUUAUUUCUUUGUAUGAUUUCUUCCUUUUUUUAGUUAAAUCUUCAUUCUUUAUUUUUAAACUCUUAUUCUUGAUAUUUAUUUUUCUAAAUUCAUCCAUUAAAUCAUAAAAAGCAUCUUGUAGUUCUUCAAAGGUGAAAUCUAGAGUAAUUUCAUAGGUUAUCUCAUUAUCUUGUACCAUGAGACACAAGUUUACCACAUCUUGAGUUUCUUCAUCUGAAGAAGAAUCAUCACUAUUACUCCAUAUCGCCACCAUAAUCUUUUUCUUGAUUUUCUUGAAUGUUUUCUUUAAGAUUGGACCGUCAACUUGGAAAUGCCCCAAUUUUUUGCAUUCAUAAUACAGUGGCUGUUUCCUCGCUUUUUCUUUAUCUUUACUGAAUUCACCUUUGACUGAUGGCCUCCUUUUGAAUCCUUGCCUUCUUCUUCUCAUGAAUUUCUUAAAUUUUCUUGUAAUAAGGGCUAUGUCCUCAUCAUCAUCAUUAUCGUCAGUUAUCUCUUCUUCUUCUUCUUCGUUGGCAGCAGAUUUAAGGGCAAUAGUCUUUUUUUUUCAGCCUUCAUCUUUAUUGUACUGCUUCAUUACCAGUUCAUGUGUCGUCAAUGAUCCUAUUAGCUCUUCUAAUGCAGCUUGUUCAAGUCUUUUGCCUCUUGAAUUACUGUGAUUUUUGCUUCCCAAGAUUUUGACAAAGACUUAAAAAUUUUUCUCACCAAAUCACUAUUAGAAUAAGCUCUACUAAGACUUUUUAAUCAAUUAAUAAUAUCUGUGAAGCGUGUGAACAUUUCAGAAAUUGUUUCACUAGGUUCCAUUUUGAAAAGCUCAUAUUGAUAUACAAGCAUGUUAAUUUUUGAUUUUUUGACUUGAUAUAUGCCUUCAUGAGUAACUUUAAGUCUAUUUCAAAUUUUUUUUAUAGAGUUGUAAGUGAAAAUUCAGUUAAACUCAUUUGCAUCCAAGGCAUAAUAUAAAACAUUCAUAGCCUUGGCAUUUAGCUAAAUUGACCUUUUAUCCUCUUCGUUCCAAUCCUUUUCAGGUUUGCGAAUGCUAAUUGAUGAACACUUAAAUUAAGUCACUAGAUGCACAUAAUUUUAUUUAAUUACUUUUUAUUUAUUAAGAAUUUGAUUCUUUCUAGUCUAUUUUGUAAGUAAUUCGGAGUUUGAGUUUAUACGAUUCAAAUUAGACUCAAAUCGGAUUAAAUUUGAGUGAACCAAGUAACCAGCUUCUAUUCCAGUGUGAAUAUGAUUUAUUCAUGAAGAAAUCAAAUGCAAGUUCAAGAUUCAAAGGUCUAGAUUAAAAGAUAGUCUUUUACAUGAAACCAAGUGUGAACACGACUUAAAUAUCAAGGACUCAGAUUAAAAGAUCACUUUUUAUGAAGAUUAUGUGUGAAUACGACUUAUUGAUCAAUAGAGGAGAAGUAAGAUGCCCCAUCCAAAGGCUCUCAUUCAAAAACCAAACCCUAAAUUCUCUUGCCACCCCCCACCUUUCUUUCUUCACGUUAAAGCAUGCCUUCUCUUGCAUUCUUUCUUUCUUACAUGCCUUCCCAUGCCCUCUUUUCUUUCUUGCAUGCCACAACAAAACCCUAACACCCUCCACGCCAUCUUAAGAAGCAUGCCUUCUCUUGCAUUCUUUCUUUCUUACAUGCCUUCCCAUGCCCUCUUUUCUUUCUUGCAUGCCACAACAAAACCCUAACACCCUCCACUCUAUAAAUACAUGUCCCCCUUCUCUUCCAAGAGAUAUACUCUCCGUUGUGGGGAUCAUCUCUCUCCAAGCCGCCUCCCUCUCUCUCCAUCUUUCUCUCCUCCAUCAAAACCCUAGCCUCCACCUUCCUUCUUCCAUCCUCUAAACACCCACGACCAUCAGCCCUCUCCAUGCCUAAACACAACCAGCCAACACCAAGCCUUAAAAAUCGCCCCCUUCUUUUACAUCUCCAUGCCCAUCUUCCAUCUCCAAACCCUAGCCGGCCUUAGGUUCUUUUUCUUCCAUAAUCCAGCCUUCUAAACCUUAGUUCCUUCCCCUCUAAACCCUAGAAGUCCACGUCCAAAACCUCAAAGAAACCCCAUGCACAAGCCUCCUAACUUCAACCUCCUUUCUUCUUCCACAAAAUUUCAGCAACAUGUCCCUUCCUUUUUUCUCUUCUAAAAGUCUAUUCUCCAUCAAAUCUCUUCCUUUUUUUGUUGAAGAUCUUCUCCAAAUCCGUGGCAAAGAUUUUUUAGAGAUCAGGAUGCAGAUUGUAGUGAAGAAUUUUUUCAUGACUGGCUAGUAGUCACAUCUCAAGAGAUCGCUGAACUUGUUCCAAUAGUUUGUUUACUUUUGCAUGAUCUUUUGUAUUCCUCUUUCAUAUUGCAAUAAAGAUCUAAAAUUCUUGUUCUAUAUUGUUGAUAAGUGAUAUAUUUUUAUAUUUAUUAUAGAUAUUUUUGAUAAUUUAUUGUGUUAACAUCUUCUUAAAAACUUAAUUUCAUGAAGUUAUUAAAUUUUUUUGUAAAAUAAAUAANNNNNNNNNNNNNNNNNNNNAAAAAAAAAUAAAAAAAUUUUAAAUGCAUAUUUUUUUCAAUUUUUUAGGUAAAAAUUGGAGCAAAAAUAGAGCCAAAAUACAAAUCUUAAAAAUAGCCUCCGGUGCAUGGUGGACCAGUUGGUCGGUUCACGGAAUCAGGACGCGGUCCACCAGAGAUCUCACAUGGUCUACAGGCACGGUUCACAGGCGGGUAGAAGCUAUUUUGCACGAUCGGACGACCAAAAACUCAUCCAUCAAGAGAUCCAACGGUCCAGAUUUGUGCCGACUUUGAAUAGAACUCUUCUGCACAAUCCGACAGCCCAGAAUCAAUCUAAGGCACGAUCCAACAGUUGAGAAUGAAUUCGAUUGGAAUAAGGGGAUUAAAAGCUGGAUUUUGAUCAAAUCUGGGCGGUCCACAGCUAAUCCGACGGUCAAAAAUAUUCCUAGGAGAUUAAUAUGUUUUCUAAGAGUUUUAGAACUCCUUUUGUGAUCAAAAAAAUAUGAAAAAAUUAUCUAUAAAUAGGAAGUCCGGGAAUAAGCUUUAAGAGGAGAAAAAAUCAGAAAAAAAGUAAGAAAAAAAUAGAAAAAAAAUUCAAAGAGCUUUAGAGAUCAAUUAUUGGGAGAUUAUGGAGCUAAAGAGCUUGAUGCAUGACUAAAUCCCUUCAAUNNNNNNNNNNNNNNNNNNNNUUUUUUAUAUUAAUCCAGCCUACACGGCCUAUACCCUCUAUUGACGUGCUGUGAUCUUUGGAUACGGUACAUAUUUAGGAGAGAUAGAUCGUAGUAUGUUAGAUUGAAUCUUAGAUCUUAUAAUUGAAUUUAGAUAGUUUAUACUCCAACAGGACAUACUGUAAUCUACUGAUACAGUCCGUAUCCCUUAGAGAUAAACUAUACUAAUAUCAUAAUUACAAGAAUUAAAUAUUAUAAUAUAAAAAAAGAAAAUAAAUCUCUUUGCAUGGUGGAUUCAGAAUUUCUAGAUUAUUUCUCUGAAUUAUUUUCUUUCAUAAUUUAAUUUACACUUUUGAUUUUUUACUAUUCUAUUUCUUGUUAAUCCUACUGCAAUCAAUUCUUUUUUAUUAGUUUUUCAUAAAAAAAAGAGAUAAUCGUCUUAGAUCCCUGUGGAAACGAUCCCUACUCACUCUAUCUAUAUAGUUUGAGUUGGUUUUUAUUCUUGACCGCCUAUGAUAGCGAUCAAUUGUGCAUCUUUAUAUUUUUUUGCUUAAAUUCUAGAUCUAGAAUAAUCUAUACUCUUAGAAUAAUCAGUGAUCUACAAGUACAGAUCGUACUCUUGAAAUAAGUUAUAUUUAGGUGAAACUUUUUCUAUUAUAUCUAAUUUAAUUUAGACUAGCCUAUAACUUUAAGAAACAGGCCAUGAUCCAACAGAUACGGACUGUGCUCUCUAAGAUAGGUUAUAUCUUUAUUAAUUAGAUACACAGAUAAAGAUAGAUGAAAGAAGGAUACCAGCUGUCGAAUAAGGAACAGUUGAGAUCCUGAAAAUCCAUCCUCAUAUCUGAACCAAACUUCCAUCUCAUAGCUGAACUCAAACUUUAAUAAUUUUUUAUUUACUUGCUCAUUUAAUUAUUAGCCAUUUAAUUAAUCAAUUUUUAUUCUUCUCAAAAUUUAAAAUUAAAAUUACUCAACCGCAACUAAAUAUGAUCCCUGAGGAUAUGGUCCCGACUCAUCCUAUCUAUAUAGUAGUGAGUUAGGUUUAUUUUUUGACUACCUACGAUAGCAAUCAAAUUUUGAUACUGUUGCCGGAGAUCGUGCCAUAGUUACUUUGAGUCUAAAAAAAAUUUAAAAAAAUUAUCUACUGCUUUAUUUUCAUUGCAAAUUUACUUCUAUAUAUGUUUUUUAAAAUUUCUACUCUAUAUUACUUUUCAUAUAUGAUAGAUUUACUAUUUUCUAGUUAGAUUAUUUUAUUUACAUGCAUAGAAAAAUUUUCUACUUCUCAUAGCCUAAUGAUUUACUUUUUUUUAUAGCAUAGAAUAAUUUACUUCUCUAAAAGUAGAUUUGAUUUCUUGCUUUAUUUGUAGGUUACUUAAUUACCUUUUAAUCUUAACAUAAUUUACUUUCCAUUUAGUUAGAUUCUCUAAAUCUUCUCAAAUCUAGUUAACCUAAUUUAAAACUUACCUCUUAUUUUUUCUUGCUUAAAGAUAACCUAAAAUAUAAAAAAAAAUAUAUACAUCUUAUAACACUUAAUUAAUAUAGAGAAACCUAAAACAUGAUAAAAGAACUUAACAUAUUUGGACACCUUUUCUAAUUGCAUUGUAUCUUCCAUAAAAUACUUUAAGGGCACUUAAUCCAAUUAAACAAAAUAAGGUGGAGAGUUAACCACUCUUUUUUAGCCCACAAAUCAUCAUCCUACAUUUUGUAUUGACCUAAAUCUUAACUUAAAAUCAAUUUGACGUUGGCCCCUAAGGACUUUCGAACUCAAUAGGAUAAGAAAAUCGAAAGAUUGGAUCGAAUUUGACUUCGACUAAUUAAUUGGUGUCUAGAAAAAUGGUUCAGAGACUCAAUCCUAAAGAACGGUGGUUAUUUAAUUAGGUUCAUUGUGAAAGUACGAAAAAUAUUUUACCAAUCUUACACUUACUUGGUCAAUUUGGUUGGUUGAUUUUGAACUUGGAGUUUCUAAAAGCUAUCUUGAAACAGUUAGGAGCUGUCUAGAUCUAGAUUAACCAUAGGAUAGAAUUGACUUGACUGCAUCUCUUGUUUAGAAAAAUAACAAAAAUAAUUAAAAAUAACCUUCUCAUCUAUCGUCUUUAGGUCUGGAAUUCUCUUAGGAUUCUCAUCUUUAGAACAUCUCUCUUUCUUCCUCUUUUCUUCUUCUUCUUCUCUCCCUCUUUCUUUACAAAAAAAAAUCAGAAGGAGAUUAUUCUGAUCUAGAUCCCUUGAUUUCAUAUUAAAACAAUCAGAAUAAUCUGAUAAAUUCGAUUUGUGCUAGAAGUAUGGAUCUCUACAGCAAAUUGGAUGAGCUGUCCCAUAAAUUAGAUCGCCUACUGGCUAUCAAAUAUUCUCCCUCUCUAUUUUUCAUUUCUGCACAACGAGUUGAAUGUCCAGCCAUGCAUCAAUUUUUUGAGUUUAUGUAUAAGCAAGUUCAUCAAGAUAAAUCCAAAUAGCCUACAGAUUAAGAAAUAACCCAUACUUUAACGCAUAUAAUCUAGGCUGGGGAGUUCAACUAAUUUUUUUAUGAAAACCACAACCAAUAGUUACCCCAGUACUAUAAAGAUCUAUGUUCAAAGAUGUGUCUUAUUACGAUUUACCCUAUUCACAAUAUCAACCUUCUCCAACUAUCUAUAGCCUAUCAUUUGAAGAGAAGAUUUUGCAAGCAUUAGACAUGAUAGAAAGCACCCAUCAGAUCCUUCACUCCUCUAUGCAAUCCUUAACUAAACUAGAAAUUUAAGUCGAUCAAUCAGUAAUCGCAAUCAGUAGGAAGGAGGAAGGAGAGUUGUCUAGUCAAUCAAGAGUGACCCUGCGGAAUAAUAUCUGACUAGAAAUUUUAAUGUCCCUAGAAUUUUUUCUUCAUAAUCGAUUAUAACUUUCGAGAAUAAAAUGGUCAUAGAACAACCAUGCACAACUAAAGAGACCAUUGUAGUUCCGUUUCAUGCCAGAGCUAGUUCGGUUCUUAAAUGAGUUGGCUUUGAUUCUUGAAGAAGGCUUUUCUUGUGCCGUUUGUCUCCAAAACUGAUUUUACUUGAUUCAAUUGAUCUUCAAUCAUAUUUAGAGUCUUCCAAUGAUGAUUUUUUUAACAAAAAUAUUCUUUGACAUACUUGAAAAAUAUUAGUAUCAAUUUAUGCUCUAAUAUUUUAUAAUCAUCAAAAUCAUUCCUAAGAUCAAUAUCUUCUUGUAACUUUUUCCAUUUGCCUCUUUCAGUAAUAGUCUGAGCAUAUGCCAUUGCGUGAAUAAUUUGAUCUAGCAUCCAAAUCGAUCAUAAGAGAUCCAUGCAUUCUUCACCUAUACAACAAAAAUAACAAAUGCAUUAAUUACUUUCUUAAUAUGGCCAACUUUAGAAAUCCAAUAACCUCCUAUCAUACUUUUUAAUGUAUAAUUGUAUAUAUAGAUAUGUAUUGUUGUUUUCAUCUUAAUAAUAUGUGUACAUCAGGAUGUUCUUGGUAUAGCUAAGGAUAUAAAGCAUAACACAAGGGUUUAGAUUCCAAUAUGCACCAGACUUGAAAACCUUUAGGAUUAUUUAUUAUUUAUUAUUUUACUACUAUUAAAAUGCUAUUAGGGCCUUACUACUUCACUUUAGGUAACAAAUCUUUCUCAUUCAUUUUAUUUUAAUAUCAUAACAUUGCCCUAUAAUACUCUUUUUUCAUGAAUAAUGAACAUGAAUUGCAUGUCUCAAAUGGUACUUAACUAAAAAUUUAUUCUUAAUGAUUAAGUAAAUAUUUUUUUCCUCUUCAAUAUGAUAACUAGUAUAUAUGUGUUGCUUUUUGAAUAAUAUAAUUUACUUGUGUCAAUAUUUAGACAAUAUGUAAUAUGAUAUAAACAUUAUUUCAUAUAUCACAAUUAAUGGCUAUAUAAUGUGUUUUUCUAGACUCUAGAUGCAAACAUUACUUAUGUCGUUAGAUGUAUGAAAUCAGAAAUAGGUAAAUUCAUUGCUUACAAUAACUCUAUAGGACAAGGAUAAUAUUUAUCUUUAUCAAGUACCAAAGAAUUAGAAACAAACCUAGCAGGUUGUGGACUAAAAAAUAAUUCAAGAUCCAAAUAAGAACCUAUCUGUAAUUUUGUAUAGAUAUUGAUCCAGGACACAAAACUAGCUGCCAUAUAGUAAACGUCCCCAGGAGGUCGUGGUUAGGAGUGCUUGCAAAUGGUUUUGAGGAAGUUCUUUGAAAUCGUGCAACGAUAAGGUAUUUCAUUGAAUAGCUUGUGGGUGGUUUUAGCUGAGGGAAAAAAAGUUUGGGAGUGGUGGUGAAGGCGGCCAGUCAUCCACCGACUUCGACAAAGAAAGUUGAUCAUGAGCAAAGGCUGCUCUGGAGGCUCCUUGUUAGCCGCUUUGGAUAUUGCAUAAAAUUUUGGAGGAAAAUGUAGAGAAGCUCCAACGCUACAUCACCAAAGUCCUCAAGUUCUCAUAGGAGGAAAUGGAAGCUUCAAGGAAGAAAUGGGAGCACAUCACCAUUAGCGCUCGAAGCUUGGGUCAGAGGGUGCCAUUGGAAUGGGUGGCAAAGGAGGUGAAGGAGAAAGAAAAAUUACAAUAUGACGAGGAGGCUUUUGCACUGAUGAAGGACCAUCACCUGCUCCGAUUCUGAUCAGCUACCAACUAUGAGGCCACAUUCUCAAGUGGUCCAUGCUUCCUUACUGGCCAAUUACUUGCAAUGGAACCCUAGGUGGCCAAUUUUGUUCCAUGGGCUAAGAUAAUUCGCUGAAUUGUAGUGUGGCUCUAACUACUCGGGUUGCUGAUCGAAUACUGAAGCGGUCAAGGAUCUUGAGCAUUGCAUUGGAGGCUAGGAAGCUAUUAUCCAUCAACGACUUCCCUAGUCAACUCUGAAGACCGGAUAUGCUAGAGUCUGGAUCACACUUGACGUUGCCAAACCAUGGAAGCCCAACAUAUCUAUUAGAAGGUUGAAAGAAGUCAUUUAGCAACCUUUUGUCUGUGAGAAUAUUUCGGCUAUCUGCUACCUCUGCAGCCAAUUAGGACAUACGGAUGAUAGUUGUCAGUCUCAGCAAAUGGAACCUAGCUUCGAAGCUAAUGAUUGUUCAUUGCAGUCUGAAAAUGUUAUGGAAGCUGACGAUUUAGGUUGAAAAUUGGGGGUAUCACUGAUGGUUGUGGAGAUAGGAGUCGAACCAUUGAAAAAGGACCUCAAAGAUGUUAUUCUUAUGGCUAGCAGCUGUCCAAGGCUUGGGUCAUGGCUGGUAACUACUCGGAUCCAAUAGCCACAAGCUCCCAAAGCUGGACCAAAGUUGAGGAAGGAGGUCGAGUCUAACCUCAAGUCAUCCGGCCCUAACUGGUCCUCAUCCAUAUCGAGAGUUCAUCGAGGGAGGCACUCAAUUCGAUCGAUUCACCACUUGAUUUGAACAUAUGUUAAAAGCUGAUGAAGCUGGCUCACCAUAGAUCGCCCAAUAACGGGUCGGUGGGGUUCAAACUUGGGUGAGCAAGCUCAAUCAAGUUGGAAUCGAUGGUCGGGUCAGCAUUAUAGGCCCUUAUGGAGAUCAGACCAAUGGAUGAUGUGGUGGACCUGAACCUGGAGGGCAGCCCAAACCCACAAGACACCAUGAUGAGCCAAGUAGGCUCAUCCAAGUUGAAAUGGGACAGAAGCCUAGCGAAGGCCCACAAAGUGGAUAGGGCCACAAACUCAUCUAUCUAAACUACUAAGUUGGUUCAGCCGAUGAGCAGGCCAAAGUUGAAGCUUAUGUCAGCUGCUGUGGGAGGCGGGGCUACAAUGUUACCAAGGCGAAGUUAAGACACUAUCUCACCAAAAGGAAAAGAGAGAGGCCAUCGAUCUAGAGAGAGCUUGGCCUGUCCCACUCUAACUGUAUCCCUCUUUAUAGGCUGUCGAAAGGAACUGGACACAACUAUCCCAAGUUUAUCCCCCAAAUUAAGCCUGCCAUCCACACGAGGUGUCAAUAAGGUAGUCAGUAGUGAUGAAGGUCCCCUAUCACCCUCAGGGUAGGUGGAAGAUGGCAUGGUUAUGCCCCCCAAAAAAUCUCUUUCAAUGGAAGUUGAUGCCCUAAUGAAGAAAAAGGAUUUAAUUUUUGAAGUUGAUAACAAGAUUAAUAUUGGGAAGACUUUCAAUUUAGUUUAAUUUUUUUUAUGAAUUGCAAUUUGAAACAGAUUUUAUAGGAACAACAUCACAAAAUCAAGAAACUGAAUCGAUUUAAACGGUUCGGUUUCGAUUUGGAUUUUUGUAAAAUUGAUAGGAUCGAUUCGAUUUUAAAAAUAGGAUAACGGUUCGGUUAAUCGAAUCAUGCCCACCCCUAUGAUCUAUAGAGGGCACUGGCCCAUCGAUGUCUCAUGGCCAUCAAGCUCAACAUAAAGAGGACGUAUGACUAUAUGAACUGACGGUUCCUUUGGCAUAUGGUGGAGAGCUUUGAUUUUCACUAAUGGGGGAUCAAUUGGAUUAUGGGCUAUGUCAGGUCACACUCCAUUAUCUUGGUCAGUGGCACUCCUACGAACUAUUUUCAAUCUAUUGUGAAUCUUUAUCAAGAUUGUCCCUUAUCUUCAUACCUUUUCAUUCUUUAUGCUAAUACUUUGUCUAGGGCUCUGUGGGCGGCUAUCUCGGAGCAAGCUUUAGACCCAUAUGAGUCGACUCUAGUGCUAAGCCAAUCUCACACCUUUUGCAGAUGAUUGUCUAGUGGUGGGCAGGAUGUCAACUCGAAAUGCUACCACUUUUAGAAUGAUCUUGGAAGAGUACUAUGGUGCUUCAAAGCAAAAGAUGAAUUUGCUUAAGCCAGCAUUGUACUUUAGCUCAAAAAUCGAUGUUUAGUUGAGACAAGUGAUUGGGGAUUAUGAAGCUGAGUAGGACUUGUCAUUACCUACGAGCCCCCAUCACAUAGUGAAGACUUCGAAAAGCUGAGCGUUCUGAGAUUGAGUCAAUACGAGGGUGGCUGGAGGGCUAGCAAGUCAGAUGCCUUUUUAAGAUGGGCAUAGUCACUUUGGUGAGAUCAGUGCUCAGCUCGGUUCCAGUCUAUAUAAUGUUUCACACUAUUCUACUGGGGAGCAUGUUGAUGAAGCUCAAGCAGCACUUCAAAAGCUUUAUAUAGGGAUCACAUCAAGGUGAGGGUGAUGUUCACCUUCUGGAUUAGGAUAUGAUUUGCCGGUCAACUAGGGAUAAGGGGCUGGGUGUUCAGUCCCUCAUGAUGAGUUGUGGGACUUUAAUUAUCAAAAUGUAGCAUGGUUCCUACUUCAGUCAGCUGCACUGAAGUGCGAUGAUGAGAGCCAAAUAUGGCUCAUGGAUUGUUGGCACCGAUAUCCGACCCUAUUAAAGGAGCUCGUUCAUGUGGAAGGAGAUAUGUUCCCGAGCCCAAGUGGUCCUAGCCCAAGUUAAAUGGCUUGUAAGAGACGGGAAGACAAUUGACCUCACCCAAGAAUCGUGGAUUUUAUUGAGCUACCAUUGGACAGAUGGCCAACCUUCAUCAACAUAAAGGUAGCUAACUCAAUGCAUGUUUGUGACAUAUUCCAGCCUAGAGGAAGGGGAUGAAAUAUCAAUCUGGUGUCCCACAUCUUUGGAGCUUCCUUGACGAAGAGGGUACUUUCCAUUGUAGUUCCUGUGUAUGGUGGCCAAGAUGUGAGAGUAUGGAGGUCGGCUUGCACACCAAGGGUGGUGACUAGGGGCUUUUAUGAGGUGUAUAGAGGAGAGUUAGUUAGAAGAUUGGAUAGGGCUUGGAUAUGGAGGUUUCAUGUUCACUCGAGGACCAACCUAUUCCUAUGGAAGGUGACAUAACAUGCAGCCAUCUUUUGACCAGAGCAGUUCUGCAUGCCAAAGGUAUGGACCUCCCAUCAAUAUGCUUGUGCUGUGGUAUGGAUAACAAGACUAUGGAUCAUGUCCUCUUUCUCUGCCCUAGAGCUCGACAGGUUUGGAGAAUGGGGGGACUCUUCUUCCUGACCACCAACCCCAUGAAGCCAGCUCAGGUCAUCUUGGAGGCACUAUAGAGGAGCAUGGAGUAUGAUCCAUCCAGGGUACUCGACAUCAGAUCUACUAAUGUUCCAUAUCACAUCUGGCUGGCCAGGAACAUGGGCAUUUUUUAGGUGACUUGGCAGCCGACGAGUUUCACCCUAGAGAAGGCACUAGCAUAGACACGGAGGUCAUACAUUUGUCAUCGACUGAUCCGAUCUUCGUCACUUUGGACAUCUUGGAUUCCCUGGCUUCUCAUGUAGCAACCCACCUGGUGUUUACCACCUAGGAGCUGCUACCACCGAGCUAUCUUAUGGUUAACUUCAAUAGUAGCAUGAGAGACAGCAAGGGAGGAGAGGGAUUCGUGAUUUGGGGUCUCCAUUCUAGAUUUGUGAUGGUAGGCGGCAACCAUCUCCUUCAUAGCACUAUUCCAGGAGUGGAGCUAUAGGUGGCCUGGGCAGAUAUUACUUUCGCCAAGUUAAGGCUAGAAAUAAAGAGACUUGUGAUCAAGGGGGAUUUGAUCGGUCGGUUACGAGAGCAGUCGAAGGAGGUGGCCGUGCACCCACUCCUUUAUGACAUAUGAUGAUUGUCAGGAGGUUGUUCUUCGAUUGAUAUUAGAUAUGUUUAUCAGAAAGCCAACAAUACUGCAGACUAAAUGGCCUCCUAUAUGGCAAAGCUCAUCGAAGGGAUCAUUUGGACUGAUAUAGCUGAUCUGCCUUUAUCGUUCUGUGAUAUUCUUUUUUGUAAUCUUUUUGGUUAUAUUCGUACUAGAAUUAUAUGAGUGCUUCAUCCCACCAAAAAAACCCACUAUAACUAGAUGUGCAAAUAAGUCGAGCUGCUCGUAAACUGCUCGACUCGAUUAUUAUCAAGCUCGAGUCAAACUCGAGUAGUUUCAAUAAUUUUUCUAGUCAAGCUCAAGGAUAGAAUACUCGACUUAAAAAUUUGCGAGCACACUCGAAUUUUUAUAUAUUUUUAAUAAUAUUUUUUAUUUAUAAUAUAUAUAUAUAAUAUUAUUAGUAAGAUAAGAUUCGAUUUUAAGCUCAAACUCGAGCUUGAAUAAGGCUCGAUUGAUAUUCAAGUUGAGUGAAAUUGAUCUCGAAUUUGUAGACUUACGUUUCUGCCUCCUUAACCAGGCUUGAUGAGUUUGUUCAUCAGGAAGACCACGCAGGCAUGGGAUUUAGGAUCUAUCAUCUUUUUCUCAAAAGAGAUGCUUAAUUAAGAGGGAAUAAAGGUCUGAAAUAGAAAUCGGAAUAGAUGACUCUCAUUCUAACCACUUGAUUGAAAAGAAUCCCAUUUCGAUUUCGGAAUAGAAUGAAAAUGAUCCAAUCUAUCUAAAACUCAAUCAUCACUCUCCUUUAUGAAUUCAAAUUUCUAUUUCGAUUCCGACCAUGAACCAAAUGCUUCAAAAAAUUUGAUCAUUCCGAUUUUCAUUCCAAUCCAUUCUAGUUCCGAUCACGAAUCAAAUAUCUCCAAAUGCCUGUCCAACAAUCAGAUCUAAUGUUUCUUCAAUUUAGCUGCAAGCACUGUGGGAUAAAUCUGAGAUAUACUGUGCCUAACCUAUUUGCAUCUAAAUUCUGGCUAGAAGGUCCCUCCAGCAAAGUUGCUGCAUAAGUCACCUGAUUCCACAAUAUGUGAUGCAAGGCCAACAGACUAUCAGAUUUAAAAUAUUCGCACAUGUCCUCCGGGCAAUCUAGAAGAAGAGAGGAAAGCACAAUAAAUGGAAGAGUAGCUAGCUUGCUAGAUUCCUGCUUUCCUAUGAGUAUAGAUCCAAAUGGAACCUGACAACUCAGCAAACCAAAUGGGUCAAAUUGGCAGCAUGUUGCAUGCCAAUGAAGCAGUAUGAGCUCUUUCAGUCCAUAUAGAGAAGGUACAGAUUCAUCAAGAGAUCAAUACAAAAGGUGUUGUUGACUAGGAAACUAUGACAGGGUUCUCUAUCCAAAGAAGCAAUUCCAUGGAAGCAGUAAACUGAGGUUUUACAAAAUAGCAUCUCAGCAAUUUAGAUGAGCCAUAAACUUACUACGCUCUCACAAACAAGCAAAAGACAAGGCCGCAAUUUUUUUCUUUUUAUGCUUUUGCAUUUAAUUUUAAUAAAGACAAUCCCAGUUCCCAGCUCAGGUUUCCACUGCUCUACACAAACGAGAACCAGUUGCAAGGUGGAGUCAAAAAGAAAAGGGGCAAAGGAAACACACAAAUCAGACUCAAAACCAACAAGUUGCAGCACAUCUGAUGACUUGCCUGAGAUAAUAUACAGAAGAAAAGAAGGAAAUGCAGGUUAUGGCACCACCCUGAGAUCCUGGAAGUACUCAUGGUCCAGAGCAUUCCGAGCUGUGAUUCUUCUGCUUGGUUCCAAGCGAAGCAUUUUCUGCAAAACGUGAGCAUUAAUUAAACCAUUAGCAGCCAGAAAGUCAUCAUUAAUCAUAUGAAACGACCUACUUCCACUCCUUUCCCAACCACACAGAUUUACCAAGGAAUGCAAAAUAAGCAUCUCCACAUCAGCUAUAAGCACAUCAUUGAUCCAAAAUUGUUCAGUAUGAUCAUACAGUUGCAGCAGAAGGGGAAUUGGAAAUGAUCCACUUAAUCAGAUCUAAACUUAAUCAGGCUAUUCUACUUGCAAGUUCCCGGUUAUUAAAUGUGGCCUCCUUUUUGCAUCCCAAUAUAUAUAGCAUUCCUAAUUCUACAACUGGCAUUUUUAAUGACUCUAUACAUCAAUGUGCUUGCACAUUAAGCAGUUAUGCAUGCCAUACACUAGGCACGGACAACAUUAGUGAGAGAGAAUCAGAAAACAGAAAUACAGUAUUGACUCCUAUAUGCAUAGGUCUAGCAAUUCCCUAGCAUAUAUGACACGGCAAACUAAGUAGCAACAAAGUGCCUAGGCAGUUUUCUUAGUAUGCAUACCGAGAGAAGAUCAAUCCCUGCUGGUUCAAGAUUUGGGACCACCAUUGCUAGAUUCUGCACAGCCAACACAAUAUCAGGACCUUGCAUCAUCAAAUGGUUAUAGUAGUUCUAAAAGCAAAAAAAUAAAAAAAUGGUUAUCAUGGUCAGCUAAUGUGCACUAACUAUUAACCUUUAAUCGAUUUAAUUGCUUUAGUAACUAAAAAUGGAAUUUCAGUAGACUGUCUUAUAGUAUAAAACAGAGAUGAAAGGCAAUUAUAAUCUGAAGUGGAGCUCACAUAGUAGAAUAAGAAAAUGCUGACAAAUUCGGGUAACACAUUACUUAAUUGAUUCAAUACCUUGGGAGGCCACUUGGGGAAAGCAGACUUGUAGUCAGGCAAGGAAGAAACACCCGGCCAAGUUUCUUCAUUUGGAGUACCCAAAACUCUUCAUGGUUAUAAAUGCAGAAGAAAUUGCAUUAGUAUGAAGCACAUAAGCAGCAGAGUGCAACCAUAACAUUAAACUUCAACACCAAGGUAUCUGUAAAACCUGAAAAUCUUAAACAAUUCAUCAAUCUCAGAAUCUCCAGGAAACAGGGGCCGUUGGUUCACCAUCUCAGCAAAAAUACAGCCCACCGACCAAAUAUCAACAGGUGUAGAGUAAUGCCGAGACCCUAGCAGAAUUUCUGGUGCCCUAUACCACAGUGUUACCACCUAUGGGGGAAAAGCAUGAUAAAAAAACUCCAACAGAAUCACUAGAUGGGACAAAAAAUUGAAAGAGAACUUCAUGUUCACGAUUGAAAGAUAAAAGAGCAUUGUCAAAACACACAUGAAAACACCCUUAUAUGCUGAAUGGUUAAAGAAACAACCAAACAAAUGUAUACCACCAAAAAAUCUUGAAUUAAUGCAAUAUGCUUAUAUUCUAUCUACUUUUUCGAACUUAAAUCAAGUUCAUAGUGUUAUUUUCAAUGGAAAUAGCCUGCAAAUUCCUAAUCUGAGUCGCCAGGAAAGUAAUUUUUAACCUAGAAAAAAAACUUAACUUACUGAGGAUGUAGGAAAAAUUGCCGAAGCACAAAGGUACCUCAUGAGUAAAUGUCCGGACAGGGAUACCAAAUGCCCUGGCUAGUCCAAAGUCCGCAAGCUUCAGGGCAUUAGUGCGCCGAUCUAUAAGCAAAUUCUGAGGCUUCAGAUCUCGGUGAAGAACUCUAUGAGAAUGGCAGUAUGCUAUACCAUGGAGAAUCUGGUAAAGAAAUGUCUGCAAGAAGAAGAAAAGAAGAAGGAUAUCAGCUGCAAAAUUUAAAAUGGCAGGGGCCUAAAAUGAGACAGUAGUCAUCAUCUGGCAUUUCUAAUCAUUUACCUGGGCCACACAGUAAAUUAGCUUGUACAUCAAAUGGUUAGAAAUUUUGUAGGUCAACCAGGCUAUUCCAAUUAAUACUAUAUAAGAUGGUAAUCCUCAAUUGUAUAGCACAAAUUUAUCAUAAUCAACAAACUGCUUUUAAUAAAAUUCGAUCAAUAUGGAGCAUGGCUGUUGCUAAGGAUGCACAAACUGAUUGGCCAGAAUUCCCGAAGUAGGUGUCAAUCUAAAACCAACCCUCUUAGAAUUGCUGCUGGAUUCUUUGCCAAGGGAGUUGGGCAAGAGAACCUGCCAUGAGACCUAAAGUACCAGUUUGGCAGGUGGAUGGACCUACUCAUUGCUCAUGGUUUAAGUUCAUGCAAGCAAGAAACAAACCUCCACAAUUCUGAUCUGGGAAGAGUUUAUAAGGGGGAAUAUGGCAGGCAUGACAAUAGGAAACAAAGCUGAGGCACAAAUUAUAUGCCAAAGAACAAACUAAAACACAACCAUAUAGAAAGAAAUAUGAUGAACCCACAAAUCAAUGUAUGUGAGCCCAUGAUAAUAGUUAUAAGUGAUUAAGUACUUGACAAUUACAAAAACAAAAAAAAACAAAAAAAAAAGACUUAAUGCAGAUUAAUAUGGAUCCACAUUAUUACCCAGCAUACAAGAAAUAUUUAGCAGUCAGGUAUAAUACUUUUAGUCAGUCUUACCAAAAAAAAUGAAUUUUGCUAGAAGCAGAGAUCAUAUAAAAAAGAAUAAAGGACUCUGAAUUAAACAUGCUAGGAAGCUUCAUGAAUCCACCUGAUGAUAAGAAAACUUCUACAAUGAGUCAGCAAGUGGUCUAGUAAUUCAAAGAAGCUUUCUGAAAGAAGAUACCUUAACAUGCUUAAAAAACAAGUACCAAUUUGAAGGCCUAAUUCAUACAAGUUCAUGCGAUAGUAAAGUGAAACAGAACAUCUUCUGAGUACAGAUCACCAGAUAGCCACAUAGGGUUUCGUACUAGUAAAUGACUAAUCACUACCAAAGUAAUAUGUAAGGACUGUCAUGUGAAUGUAAAAUUUAUAAUGAAAACAUAUAAAACAGAAUAAGAACCUCACUUUUAUUAAGCAUGGAUCUUUAGCAAGUUCUGGACAAGAAUCCAUAUGCUUUUUCAAGUCCAGGUCCAAAUACUCAAAGACCAAGUAUAUUCGCUUCUCACUGUGCACUACAUCUUGCAACCUGCUAUUCAAACACCAUUUUAAUGUUUUAGAGCCAUAACAUAUGCUGAUAUAAAGCCACAAUAGACAAGCUAAAAAUUGCAAAAUAAGGAUUAGGUAUGAAAAUAAAGUGCUUAAUCAGUGUUCGAUAUGUAGGGAAUUUAAAGCCAUAGAACACAAGAUAAAUCUUGCAAAAUAAAAUAAAAUUUUCAAAACAGAAGUGUACAUUCUACUGAAUGAACUAAUGCCUUGUCAAUUACAAGAAUUCAACAACACCAUUUCAUAAAGAAACAAGUAAGAUUCGAGCAAAUGAACCAACAUUCUGAUCAAUUUUUUACAAAAACAGCUUAACAGAAAAGAGCACAUAAAUAACAUCAAGAUUUGUUGACUCAGAACCGGACCCCAUGCCAACCGACCGGUGGAUUGGUGCGCCCCCAUACCGGACCAUACCAGGCCCGAACCAUCAUGAAAACGAAAAUAGGGGAGAGGGGAACGAGAGAGGAUAAGAGAAGGGGAGAGGGAGGGAGAGGAAUGGAAGGAAAAGGAGGCCGGUGGUGGCCACCGGAGGACCACAGAGGCCCUCGGAGGGCCGCCAAGGCCUCCAGGGCUCUACCCUCCUCCGUGAGAGAAAAAUAGAGAAAGAGAGGGAGGGAGAGAUACAGAAGAGGGGAAGGCAGCAAGGAGAACACCGGAGAGCCACCAAGGCCCCUGUGAAGUCACAAAAAUUAAAAAAAAAAGAGUGUGAAAUAUUGGUGGGUCAUCCUUGUUUCAACCCCAUAGAUGCCAUGGGAUCGAUUUGUGUCGUCCGAGGCCCUCGAUAACCCUCCGAUCGCCUCCAUAUCACCUUCCCCUCCCUCCGUUCCUUUCUCUCUAUCUCUCUCUCUCUCUAUUCCUCUCUCACAGAGGAGGGUGGAGCCCCGAAGGCCUUGACUACCCUCCAAUGGCCUCAACAGACCACCACCAACCUUUCCCUCUCCUUCCAUCCCCAUCUCUCUCUCUUUCUCUCUUUCCUCCUCUCUUGCUCCAUGUUCACCAGUAUUCUGAGUUGAACGCUCCAUUUUCGCCAGUAUUUUGAAUUGAAAGUCCGAACUACACCAAUAGGCCAUCGGUACAGUUCGGCAUUCCAUGAAUAACAUAUCUAAAGCAUGCAUUUUCCACUAAAGAUCCCAAAGUAAUGCCUACCAAAUAUUAUGGUAGCAUUAUAGAUAAUUUCACACAAUUCCUGAUGACUUUUGCAAUGUUGGCCUCCAUUAUCAGAAAAAGGUGGGGAAGGGCAAAGGUAACAUGUCAAAACACACAUCUACUAGCAAAUCCCUUAGCACCUACGAGCAUAAUUGAGUCACGUUCUCAGAGAAUAUUGGUAAUAUUUCUUUUGAUUACAAAGAACACAAAGCUGAUAAACUUAUAUAAAAGUUUAAAGUUGUUGAUAUGAUAGUAAGGUUUCAAUAAAACUCAUAACUCAUACAUUGACAUUGAAGACAUGUAAUAUAUAUAUAUAUAUAUAUAUAUAUAUUAAAUGGAGACAACAGCCUCUGUUUGCUACGUUUUUGUUUUUCCCAAAGGACUUUCUACCACAUGUCCACACAAAGCAGCAUUAAGGAUUUGGCCGCUUCAAGCUNNNNNNNNNNNNNNNNNNNNCGGGGGAAAACAAAGAGGGCAAAAGCGUGGAGGGGCCUCGCGAUGGCCGGUGGAGAAUAGCAGGGAGGGUGUCGAUGCCAGAGGAGGCGAGCGAAGAGGAUAUGGUCAAAGGAGAGGGCAAGGAGGACACGGGCAUGGAUCUGGGUGCCUUCGUGGAGGCAAAGGGUGGCAGAGCAGUGGUCGAGGGCGGAGGCGAGGGCAACAGGAGAGUCACAUUGGGGCAGGUGGUAGUGGGUCGAAGGGGGGUUCAAGGAGGAGAUGGAGGGGUUGACGCAUGGAGUUUUGGGAAAAGCAGGAGCCGUGUGUGAGCAACUGCUGCCAAACUGGAGGUCGUCACCGAGGUCCGCUUCUCCCGUUGGAACAAUGCCAAUGCCGAAACCUUCCUCCCCCAUUGCCACGCCCGGCAAGAGAUCAAGGAUGACCUUUGACGCCUCCAUCACUACUGCUGCGCCCUCAAGAUUGCCAAGGAUGCGGCCACCAGAGGCAUAGGCCACAACGAUGUCGACAAUGGAGGUCUUGAGCUUAAGGCCACUGCCACCACGCCUGGCAGGAGAUCGAGGAUGACCUCCGCACCUCCAUCGCUACCGCUCCACCCUCAAGAUCACUGAGGAUGCGGCCACCACCGACCCCUCCGCAGCCGACCUACCCCACUCCCUUGUCGGUUUUCCAUCCCAUGGUAUCCCCUCCUCCCCAUCUAUCUUGGGCAAAGGCACAGGGCUUAAGGAUGGCUACGAAAUAGUCCAAGUGGACAGGAAGGCCAAGGUGGCGGCGAAAGAUCAACAAUCGGAUGGUGUCCCUUAGGCGACCGGCCUUUGCGAGGGUUUUGGUGGAUGGGGAUCUCCUAGAGGCAGCAAAAGAUUUAAUUUUGGGCAUAUGGGAGGGGAAGUUUCGAUGGGUGGAGCAAAGUUGGGCAAUGGUUGUUGAGUGCUGGGUGGGAGCCCUCAUGGGGAUUUGGAAAGGUUGGGGUGGAGAAGGGUAGACCUUUAUCUCUAUUAAGGUAGAAAAAGUUUCGCCUAGAUGAAAAAAGAUAGAGUUUGAUAGGAGAAGAGGCAGCGCCAUGGUGAGGGAAAGAUUUUGGAGAAGAGGAGGCGGUUCCAUCACCACGAAGAGAGAGGACGAUGGUGAGAGAGAGUCCUAGGGGAUUCCUCUUUGUGGGUUUUUCAUGUGUGUAUAUGUUUUAUAAAUAUCUGAAAUUAGUCUUAUAAAAUUAUUUUAUAUAUAUAUAUGUAUAUAUAUAUAUAUAAUCUAAUAUAUAUGUAGUUUCACUAUUAAAAUGCCGAGCCCUUCCUCCACCGCCGCCGCGCCCAGUAGGAGAUUGAGGAUGACCUCCGCCGCCUUCGUCACUACCGUUCUACCCUCAAGAUUGCUGAGGAUGCGGCCACCACUGACCCCUCCUCCGCUGCCAACCCACCCCCUCCCCCGUCGGUUUCCAAUCCCAUGGUACCCUCCCCCUCUGUCUAUCUCGGGCAAAGCCUCCAAGUACUCCAAUUCCCCCUUAAACCCUAUAAGCCUUAGCUCUCCCUCUUCCCACCCCACCUUCCGCCAAAUCGCUAGGAUUUCCUAGCUGGCUCCAAUUCCGUCGGAUGGGGAGAUUGGGAUUUCGAUCGGGGAGAAAGAAAUUACAUAUAAGAUCGAGGGAGCGCCCUUUGAGUUCCAAUAUAGUUAUACAAAGACACUAAAGGUGAAACCUUUGGCACUAAAGGAGCCUCUAUUUCUGCCAUUUGGACCGAGCACAAUGCCCAGGCCAUGGACGGGGUGGCGUCACUCCUGCCUAGCAAGAAGAAGCUGCCAGAGUUCGAUUCAUUCAAGCUCCCACCGCCAGAGAAGAGGGGGGUAAAGCCGAUGCAGUCGCUAGGGCCUUCCUGGUUGGGUCAGGGCCUAAUUAUGAUGCGGCAUCGAGGGAGGAGAUUUUAGGAGAGCUGCUAGUUGAGGAGAUCAAAGAGUUGAUCAAGGGUUGCAUGAAGACCAAGAGAUCAAAGAGAGCCUCGCAGUGGCGGAGUAUAAUAAGGAUUUCUGAUCUUGGUUGGCGGUGGAAGGCGGGCGGUGGAGAUGGAUCUGGAUGCCAUGGCGAAGGCAUUCAUGUAGCACUACUAUCGAAUGUUCGAGUCGAACAGGACGAGUCUAACGAAUCUUUACUAAGACAGAUCAAUACUGACCUUAAGAGAGGCUGAAAUUUCAAUAAAAUAGAUAUAAUAAAAUAGAUAAAUAAAAUCAACUUUUUUUAAAAAAAUCACAUCCCAUGUGUCGCAUGGGGUUAUAAGCUAGUACAUGAAAUACUAGGAAGCUAGGAAUUAUUGACCAAAACAAUGGGGGUAUUAAAAUUGGAAGCACUCAACAAACAAAUUUGCUGAUAACAUGCAUGGACUUCAUUAUAUUUGUGCACAAGCUUAGCUUGAAGCCUUAAACAGUCAAGCCAGAAUGCAUACCUAAAUAUUUGAAAGCUGAGUCAAAUCAAAAAAAUCCAAAUAAAAGUUUUAUGAUAUGAAAAUUGAAGGAUCAUCAAAAUUCUUCCUAGAUAUUAGCAUCCUAUCAAUUCUAUGAUUUUCAUCCACAGCUUGAAAUAAUAAUUCAUGAAAGUAAACUAGUUCCAUGUUAAAGUCAACAUAAACAAUGCACAGUCAUUCAGCUGCUUAAAAAAUGAUUUGUAAUAUUUGCAAUGUGCUUCAGUCAUUUAACACUAAGAACAAACGUGUUAAUAUGAAGGAAUCAUCAGAUUUAAACCACAGAGACUAGAGAGUAUGCUCAACAUGUCUUGCAUGGUGCAUAACAUAUAAUAAAUGCCACUCUCCAUGUUCUGCUAACCUGAUCCAACUUCAUAGCAAAGUGGGAGAAAAUUAGCCAUAAUUUAGUUAUUCAUUAUCCACAUAAAUUAUGAUCACAGAGAAACCUGACCAAAUCAACUAUCUCAUAAGGUGAAAAGCAAAGAUGGAAUGCAACAGAAUGACCCAAAAUGCCAACUAACCUGGUCCUAAAGAUCUAGCGAGUAUUUAAAAAAAUAAAAGAAUGAGAAAAAGCACAAGGCUUUGUGAGGUAUCGAAGACCACAACAGACUAUUACACGCGAUAAUAGCACAGAUAAUAACUUUUGAUAAUAUAUUAGCCCCUCAGAAACUCUUAUUCAUCUCAAUCUUAUUUUCCAACUUCACAAUAGAUGAUGUGAAAUGUAUUAGUUAUCUCCUGACAAUUGCUUGUCUCCUUACCAAUGAAGGCUGAAGCUUGUCUGGACAACCAAUCCUCCAAGGAUAUAGUCAAUAUGUUAGGAAUGGAACAGUCUAGCCUACCAAGAAAUCAAUGCCACAAGGAAAAACCCAUGUAUAACAAAUAUUUCUACAUUUCUCUAUGAGAUCUUUGCAUACAGUCUGAGACCAUUAUAGAUCAAAAGUUGCUCAGGGAUACCGAACAGGGUCCUGCCAUCAACAAAAGCACAAAAGAAAUAUAUGAAUUAUAAACCUAGCUAUUCCACUGACAGACUAAAUUAUCUUAAAGCUCCAACAACUAGUGCCCCAAGAAGAAUGGAAAAAUGCCAAGGCACAAGUUCAUCAUCACUAAAAGUAAUGCUUAGUAUAAAAGACCAUAGCCCCUCAGUCAUCAUGCACUACCAAAAAUAACUCAACAAACUAGACCAAACAUCUUAGGAAACAAGGAUCACACAUUACAUUCAGCUAUCUAGGAGGCCUUAAAAUGUUAAGGAUGGUUUCUCACCCACCCCAUACCUCAUCAAACCCAAAAUUUUGUUAUCCCAGCAACAUCUUUCUGAUGUAGAUACUUUUAAACUCUUGUACAUGUCUACUUUGCUCGAACCUCAACACAUGCAUAGGAAGGCAUUAUUUAUGCUAUUGAUGGCUCUAAGAAAAAGACCCCCCCCCCCCACAAAGUAACAAAUUUUAAGUCAAUUAACCAGUAAUAAUUGUAUUGGAUCUCGUUCCCAGUUAUUUGUUAGCAUUUCAUGCAUCCCUUCCCAAUUUGCUGUAGAAUUGUAUACUAAAUGCCCAAGCUGCCUCAUGACACUGGUCCAAUGGAUCCUGACUUGCCCGUAAGUCUCAUUUUGCCAAACCACCCUAAUAUAAUAUACUGAUAGGAAUGAUGAUACAUGUCAGAUAAUCAAACAUUAAAUGCAUUACAAUUCAUUUGGCUGCCAAGGUUAGGCAUGUCAACAUUGAUAUCUUCAGCCACAUCAUCCUCCAUAUCAUGAGCAUUACACCUACAAUGACCAUGCAAUCUAUCAUCAUCAUGUGCACCACAAUGAUAUAUGGCAUGUCCAGGUUGAGCUGGUCUAACAAGCCAAUGGUGAGGCUUGGACUAUUACAAUUCCACCCCAGCAAUGGUGCUUUCUAACAUGGCUUCAAGAUAAUUGCCCACCCUUGUACUUAUGACGACAUGUGAGAACUUACUAGUUGGUCAUCCAUUGCAUCUAAACUCUUCCACAAUAACUUGUCUAGCCAUCAGUCAUCCAUCUCUUAAAAAGCAAUUCACUAAGUCUAAGCUCUCUGACCAGUAAGGUAAUCCAUCCCUUAAAAAGCAAUUCACUAAGCCUAAGCCCUCUUACCAGCAAGGUAAUAUCUGCAGAAAUUGAUAGUUCAUGCAAAUAUACACAUAAAAGUGAAGUGAUGCUAGUAACAGCAAGCAGAUUCAACACAUACCAUCAGAUUUAUGCAGUUUGUGGAUUGACAUAGCACCAAAAACCUGUUUUGAGCUAACAAAAACAGCAUAAAUCCAAGCAUGAUCUUUCAAGCAAAUAUUGACGAAUUCUAUGAUGCAUGGUCACAUUCAAGUUGAAGCUGCUAUGAACCAUUCCAACCAAUUCAAAUUGUCUCUAAGCAUUAAAAUGUUAUCUCCAAAGGCUACAAGUAUGGAUCAACUUCUAACAAAAGGUUUGACAUAAUCCAGGGACCAACAAAUGAUAGAUCUAACAUUACAAAAGGGAAUUGAGAUCAGUUAGAAGCCCCAAAUAGAGGUCUUAGGAUCUUAUCAACCGCUAUAGAAGGCAUGCUGUUAUUGAGAAAAAGCAAAAAAGGACUCAAUUGUUGCACUAGGCGAUCAAGCCAGGCUAAAGGACUGCCCAGAAAAAUCCGGUUGGCAUCUCUCUAGGGCAUGGUGGGUGGUUUGGAAAGAAAAAAAAAGAAAAGAGAAGAAAGAACAAGAAAGAAGGGGAAGGAAGCGGGGAAACAAAAGGAAAACAAGACAAAAGAAGGGGAAGCAUAUUCUACAGAGCUCAUGCUAGUUCUAAAGUUGAACUAUACAUCCGAGGACCUCACACUCUUCCACAGCCUCUGCCUCACACACAGAUUGAGAAAUUCAAUGAAGAGAAACUCACAUUUAACAAUCAGCAAAGCAAAACCUUCAGUGCCCUUCCAAUGCUUAUAAGGGCCACCCACUAACUAUAGAAUAAAAGUUUAACAGAAAAGCUUCCAAGCACCAGUCAGGAUGGUUCUUCUAGCAUUUUAUUAUACUUCAAAGCCUCGUCAGUCCCAAUCAUCUUUACCUCUAGCAUCAAUACAAACAUUACUAAUAUACAUCGGCAGUGAAGAAGUAUAAUUUGGAAAAGAUAGGUUGGUGACAUAUCCACAAGCUCUCCUUAGGGGUCUCAUAUAAAAUACCUUGGUUGUUCCUUCAGUUUUCUAAUUUUUUUUCUUGCUAGGGUAGGGAGUAAAUUUACUGAAAAAUCACCAAAAAUGUACGUACAAAAUAGAAAUUCCUAGCAGAAAACUCUGGGUUGCCUCAAACAUGGAAAAGGUGCAGAAUGCGAGUGCAAAAGAGCAUCACCAGAAAUUAAGACAGUAAGAGUGCUCAUAUAGAACAGUAUGCAAUGUAUAAGUCAAUAAUUCUACUUAUGUUGUGGCAGUUGUGCUACAAAAUUUGAAGUUUAAAAUGACUUAGCUGUGAAGAAACUGAGGAUGUAGUAGAAGAAACAACAAUGUCAAACCCUAAAGAUUUUUCAUUCAAAAAGCAGUGGCCUCUGUGUUUCCCAAUGUGUGAGAGCAUCUCAACAUAGUCCAUGGAGACACCCCCUUGGACAAGCAUGACCUUGUCCGAUGAGUAGAGAGUUGGCACAUCCCUGUGGUAGGGAAUCUUGUUUCUUGCACUUCCUAGGAUACAGCAUAGCAACACUUGCCUGGCAUUCUACUGGCUCAAUUAGGUCCCAAUUGAGCCAUAGAUAAAUGAUUCAUGUGCAUGCAUGUAAAUAACUUGUUAGUGGUUAUGUUUUAGCAAAGAAACAAAAGCUGACAUUAGAAUCAACAAAUAAGAUAAAUAACGCUAUAAAAUCAAUGGACCAAAACUUAACCUUGAAGACUAGAACUAAUCGGUUGUGGUAGCCAAAUGAGAGGUGGGCAGUACUAGGAAUCCAGUGUGGAACUAUGGAUGGGAUUCGAUGUGUAUGCAUAGAUAUCAGUGUAGAGACAAUGCUUCAUCUGUAUGCAUGUAAAUGAAUUGCUGGUGGUUAUAUUUUAACAAAUACACAAAAACUGAUAUUAGAUUCAACAAAUAAGAUAAAUAAUGCUGUAAAAUCAAUUGACCAAAACUUAACCUUGAAAGAUUAGAAGUAAUGGAUUGUUGUAGCCAAACGAGAAGUCAGGGGUGUUAGGAAUCUGGUAUGGAACUGAGGAUAGGAUUCCAUAUGAACAGCAAGCAAAAGGUUACAAAAAGUGCAGAGUGACAAUGAAUAUAUGCCUUGUCUUCAUCGAGGUUAAAAAACAUUAGAGCCAUCUACCACUGGUAAUCCAACCGUCUUAUCCUUUCCAUUCUUAUGAAUAGCAAGUUCAAAACUAGCAAUCGUGCCUUUUCCAAAACCACAUUAAUUUAAAAUUCGAUGAAUGCAUAAAGAGAUUCUAUAUUACAAUCACAUUAUAAAUGCUUACGAGAUAAAGAUAAAGCAGAAAAGGAACCCCAAUAUUUCUUCAUUUAGCAACAGUUCCUUUUACAAUUUGUUGCUUUACCAACCAAGAUAGAGUCAAAGAAUAUGUCCAAGUAAUAGCUAAUUUAAGGAUCAAUACAGAACGAUACCUGCAUAAAUUUGACACUGAACAAUCAAACAUAUGCAUGUGUUCAGAUGAAUGCACAAGCACAGAAACCCACUUAUGCACAUGCUUUCAUGCAAAGUAUGAAAUACAGACAAGCACAAAAGCACGCCUGUGCAUGUGCGUGCUUUUUCUCCCGGUUUUAUUACAGAACGCCUUCUUUAGACCCUAACUUAACAAAAGCAUCUCCAUCCCACAUUUUCAAUAGAUCCAAAAAUUUAAAGAUACAGGUGAUCUGGCACUAAAAUAUGCCAGAAGGAGACCUCAUAUAAUGUCAUUGUUUAGGAGAAAUAUCAAGAAUGCAACAUGUUAGGCUGGAAACCAGUUUCUGCAUUUCUUAGUAAUUGUAGGAUCAGCCAAUGUUAAUGACAAUAUACAAUGAAUUAACCAUGAAAAUUGAGAAAAACAAAUACAAGCAGGGUACUGCUUCUUAAAUGCAUUGAAUUGCAUCCAAAUACUAAAACAAUUAUUCCCAAUAAUUUCACUUUCUUAGCAAGGAAGCAGCUUUCUUUCACCAAAUUUAUGAGUUGAAGUUAUAGACGCUUAACAUUUCUCUUUCAAGCAUAAUCAAUGUUGUCAAAGGCUCUCAAGGUGCUCAGGCAAGACAAGGAAACCUCAAAGCACCUCUACAAUCCCUAGGUAGGCAGGUUUGUUAAGGCAAUGCCCGGGAGAAAGCCAGAAGAAUUCAGGCAAGUGCCUUUCCAACAUCCAACAUUUGGGAAGUGGUAUUUUUUUCCAUGUUUGAACCUUGAAGAUACUUUAGAUGUCCAAUGGUAUGCAUUUGAUACCUUUUGUUUAAAAAAUGUUGGUAAAGUCUGGUCUUUGAUGUGAUGUUUUGGAAGUUGUGGAACAUUGUCUCUGGUGUUCAAGAUACAGUUAUGAUUUAGCAUAUUAAAAAAAGUUGAGUGAUUGAUCUGAUGAUGUAUGUAUUUUUUUCAGAAUAGAGUCAAAGCAUGUGUUUGGUUUCUACUUUAUAAGAAUCAAGAAAAGGUCGAGAUGCAUUUGAAUAAAUAACAAUUGAUAAAUUCUAAAGCAAUAGGGCAGGCCUUGGUGCAACAAUAAGGUUACUCCAUUAUGACCUACGUGUCAUCGGUCUGAAACAUGAAAACAGCCUUUCCUCACCAAGAGGUAAAGUUACAUGCAUCUGACCCUCCCUAGACCCUACAAUAGUGGGAGCCUCAUGCACUAGGAUAUUCUUUUUUGUAACUCCUAAAGCAAGGAUCUGACUUUGACACUAUGGUUAACAGCUGGACACUCCAUCAAACAAAGAUGCAAAGAGAUGUGAGAAGAAACACAUGGGUCAACACACAAGGGGAAGUGCUAAUGGACAAACAUGCCUCAAGUAUGGGCAUAAAGAGAGUUGGCAUUACAUAUUAGAAUAGAUAUCAAUAGUAUUUAUCUCGCUGCACUUAUUCUAAUGCAUUUAUUGGUCUUCUCAUAAUUAGCACCUUGCUUUUUGGCACCUAACAUCUCGAGCAAUAUGGAGGACCUCUCACCUUAGGGGUGCCCUUUGCUUUUAACAACCUUAAGCACAACUGUACCACCACAAAUAGGAUUUGACAAAUAAUGACCAAUAGCUUCCCAUCACCACCCCCUAAUGUAUUCCUAAAGUAUGCCCAACUUCACAUAGGAAGGUACAGAAAAGAUAGAAUAGCAUUGUUUAAUGCCCUAAUUAAGAAAAUAUAUAUCAAGUGUCGGGUCAUCUGUUCUCCAUGAAUUAAUUCCUCUGGAGGCACUCAGGUCAAAAGGGAUAUGAAUAGCCUGAUGAUUAUAAGAAAAAAACAUCCUUCCAGCAACAUUAAACAUGUUGGUUUCAGCAAAUGCUAAUAUGUUUAUCAGUUACCAAAUAGAAGGAAAAAGCAAAAUUCCUACCCCCUCAGACAUCUGUUCAGUCUUCUAAUAAAUAGAAAACAAAUUCCUAUAUUUCACUGGCAUAAAAGGCAACAAAUUCCAGCAUGAAUGUUUAGCGUUAAUGCUGACUCAGAAGUUAUAACUCUGGUACUCAGACACCACCACACUAGUCAAACAGGUAAUCUACCAUGAUACAAACAAUGAAAUCAAAACCAAAAGUAGAAACAAAAGACUGUUGUUUUGAUAGGACUUGUCUUGUCCAUAAUUCAAGCACAGAUCAUGCAGGCAAACUAUUAGCAUUCACAGCAUUCCCACUGUUCCUUGCUACAGAAUUAGAUACUGAAUAAAAGCAAAGCAAACUUGCUUUGAGUGCUUGAACAAGAAAUAGUCUGUAUGAACAUGGAUCAUGGAUCUGACAGCUAACAGCAUAUCAUUAUUUCCUAUUCCUAUUGAUUCACUAACAAAAGGAAAAUGCUUUGCAGUGCCCAUUAGUGUGAGGAAAAGUUCCAUGGGCCCACUUCUUGCUGGGUAUGCAACUCAGCAUUCAACAAACCCCGUUAUCAGACCAUUUCCAAGAUCUUACAUUAAUCACCUUCUUCCACAUGGUAUAGAGAACUUCUCAAGUGCACAGGAUAAGCACCCCAUAGUUUUUUUAAAAAAAAAAAGCAUCGGACUUCCACGAAACAACUGAAAAUGAACAAAUUUAAACAUACAUGAAUAAAGAACAAGAAAGAACAGCAAGUGUAUCCAAAUUAAUCAAACUGCAGAAGUUCAGAUGGCUGCUGAGAAUGACCUGACAAUAUUAUUAUGCUGCAUUUCCUUCAAAAGUGAUAUCUCUCUAAUAGCAGUGCUUGGGACUCCUUCAUCUUCUUGCUCCAGCCGGAUUUUCUUCAAUGCAAUCAUCUCAUUCGUAAGACGAUCCCGAGCCUUAUACACCACGCCAUAGGUCCCUUCCCCAAUCUUCUCCACCUUCUCAUACUAAGCCCAAGACCCCCCACAUUACCACAGUAAUCCCUAGAAUAUUAACAAGAAGCUAAUAAUAGACAAGCAGAAGAAAAGCAAGCGCUCCUCACCUGAUCCAUGUCAAUCCACCACUAAAAACACUAACGUGCAACAACGAAGGAAAUCUGCAACACAGCAUUCAAAAUACAACCAAAAAGCACACUUAUCAAAUCCAACAACAUUACAAUACUUCUUACCAUAUAAAAUAAGCAGUAAUGGCAAAUGAAACAAAGCCAUCACAAGGCGUUCAAUGCAAAAUGAGAUACAGCUCUUCAACGCAUUCAAUCAGAAACCCAAAAUUCUAAAUCCGACCGAACAGAGAAAAAAUGAAAAGACAUCCGACCGAUUCAAAACCCCAACCAAUCCCCCGUUAAAUCGGAGAGCGAUCCUCCCUCCAAAGCAAGCCACCUCCAAUCACCACUUGUUCAUCAUCAAAAGGAAAAAACAAAAAAACAAAAACACGAAAAAACAAAUUCAGAAUCGCCCUCUGUAUAAUAAUCGCAUCCCGGAAAGGAACUGCAUGAAUAGAACAAAAUCGUGCGGGCAAAAAAGAAGAAAUGAGGUAACAACGCAGGAUAUCGAUCGAAAGAGAGGGAGUAUGUUAUUAACGAAAGAAAGAAAGAAGAAGAAGACGGACCUUAAGAGCUAGGGAUUUAGCGAGCUCGGAGCAAUGGCGGCGCCGACGGGCGACGAACGAGAGUGAGAGAGAAGGAAGGGCGGGGGGUGGGGGGUGGGUUGGCGUUUGACGGCGUUGCCUUCCGUUUCUCUCCGAUUUCUCGCCCAGCUCUCAAAGUCCCUUCGCUGAGAGAGCUCGCUCCCUCGCCUACUCAUGAUAAUUAAAUUGGAAAGGCUACCGGGACCAGAAAAUGAAUCGGAAAAUGUUCACCACUAGAGAUCCAUGUUGUGGGCCCCACGCACGAAGUUUACGACUGAGUGCGUGUUUGUGGUUUAAUAUUUGGUGACGAUGUGAUGGAGAAUUAGUAAGUUAGGCUGUAUUCACAUAUAAGUUUCAGUUUGCCAAAGCAAUUUGGCACGACAUUAUUGGUGCAAUUCAGAAAUCUCACCAAUGUCUUCAUGACACGUCAUAUUAGAAACGCUGUGGGAUCAUAAUUGGGCCUCGAAGCAUUGUUAUUUGGGUUUAAUUUUCAGCGGUCUGUAAUCGCGGGGUCGUGUGCUGUCACUCGUGCUCUGUCUUGGUUGACAGAACAGCCUCUUGUCCACCGGUGAGCUCACCUCCCUCAAAACCUAUCCCGUAAUGGACCGUGCAUUAGCGGUUAGACGUUACUUACGAUGACUGAAUGGUGUUUGCACACCGAAUCAGAAUUUCUCGCGGGAAAGUUUGGCUCCAAAAUAUUAAAAAAAGAAAAAAAAAAUCUCACG
rnacentral:lncRNA from 1 species